rnacentral:rRNA from 1 species
GACGAACGCUGGCGGCGUGCUUAACACAUGCAAGUCGAACGGAAAGGCCCUGCUUUUGUGGGGUGCUCGAGUGGCGAACGGGUGAGUAACACGCGAGUAACCUGCCCCUGACUGUGGGAUAACUUCAGGAAACUGGGGCGAAUAUCGGAUAGGAGCUCCUGCUGCACGGUGGGGGAUGGAAAGAGUCGGCGGUUGGGGAUGGACUCGCGGCUUAUCAGCUUGUUGGUGGGGUAGUGGCUUACCAAGGCUUUGACGGGUAGCCGGCCUGGGAGGGUGGCCGGCCACAUUAGGACUGAGAUACGGCCCAGACUCCUACGGUCCGCAGCGGUCGGGAGUAUUACGCAGUGGGCGGGAGCCUGAUGCAGCAACGCCGCGUGCGGAAUACCGGCCUUCGGGUUGUAAACCACUUUCGCAUGUACCGAAGCGUGAGUGACGGUAAUGAGUAAGGAAGCACCGGCUAACUACGUG